rfam:Equus caballus chromosome X, whole genome shotgun sequence.
AAUCUAGGAGGCAGGUGCUCACUUGUCCUCCUCCAUGCUUGGGAAAUACAGGGAGGAGGCCAUAGUGGCAACUGUCACCAUGAUU